rnacentral:rRNA from 1 species
UACGUAGGGGGCUAGCGUUGUCCGGAUUUAUUGGGCGUAAAGAGCGUGUAGGCGGCCUGGUAGGUCUGCUGUGAAAACUCGAGGCUCAACCUCGAGAUGUCGGCGGAAACCAUCUGGCUAGAGUCCGGAAGAGGAGAGUGGAAUUCCGUGGUGUAGCGGUAGAAAUGCGCAGAUAUCAGGAAGAACACCUAUGGCGAAGGCAGCUCUCUGGGACGGUACUGACGCUGAGACGCGAAAGCGUGGGGAGCGAACGGG